rnacentral:rRNA from 1 species
GAUGAACGCUGGCGGCGUGCCUAAUACAUGCAAGUCGAGCGAACAGACGAGGAGCUUGCUCCUCUGACGUUAGCGGCGGACGGGUGAGUAACACGUGGAUAACCUACCUAUAAGACUGGGAUAACUUCGGGAAACCGGAGCUAAUACCGGAUAAUAUAUUGAACCGCUUGGUUCAAUAGUGAAAGACGGUUUUGCUGUCACUUAUAGAUGGAUCCGCGCCGCAUUAGCUAGUUGGUAAGGUAACGGCUUACCAAGGCAACGAUGCGUAGCCGACCUGAGAGGGUGAUCGGCCACACUGGAACUGAGACACGGUCCAGACUCCUACGGGAGGCAGCAGUAGGGAAUCUUCCGCAAUGGGCGAAAGCUUGACGGAGCAACGCCGCGUGAGUGAUGAAGGUCUUCGGAUCGUAAAACUCUGUUAUUAGGGAAGAACAAAUGUGUAAGUAACUAUACACGUCUUGACGGUACCUAAUCAGAAAGCCACGGCUAACUACGUG